AUGGCUGGAGAGGAUGUCGACCCCAAGUCCAGUGCUUCUGCUUCUGUUGUCCCGUAUGUGUUCUUCUUCUUUCUGUCAGAUGUCCUGCCACAGUUUCUCCUCAGUAACCAUGGUGUAGAGACCACCAUGAUGGAUGGCACGAUGAUUGCUUCGAGGGAGUUUUUCAAGCGGCCACUCGAAGACAAGAAAAGGUACACCAACCUAAUCGGCGGUGAGCAAUUCCAGUUUGAGGGGUACGGGAACGACCGGGUGAGGUCGCCGGACCAGAUCCUAGACUGGCCUGACUGCCUCUACCUCAAGGGAUAUUCUGCACAACUUCACAAAAAAUGUGGGGGAGUGAAGGACGAUCUGCUCCGGGCAAUGGCGAAGCUACUGCAGUUUGACGAUGACGACUACUUUGUGGACCAGCUCGGGGAGAAGGCUGAAACUAACGUUGUGACAAAUGCAAAGAAAGAGAGGCUAUCAGUAGCUGUAGACUAUUCUGUUGACCAUGAGAGAGAAAUCGAGCCAUGGGCUCAGCUGAUCGAUAAGAAGAGACUAGCACUGUACAUGAAAGUGAAGGUCAAGGACUACAUUGCCGGGCUGUAUGAACAUUUCUCUCAGGGAACGAUGGUUAUUGAUACACUGCAGAUAUAA
rnacentral:rRNA from 1 species